rnacentral:rRNA from 1 species
UACGAAGGGGGCUAGCGUUGUUCGGAUUUACUGGGCGUAAAGCGCACGUAGGCGGAUCGAUCAGUCAGGGGUGAAAUCCCAGAGCUCAACUCUGGAACUGCCUUUGAUACUGUCGAUCUGGAGUAUGGAAGAGGUGAGUGGAAUUCCGAGUGUAGAGGUGAAAUUCGUAGAUAUUCGGAGGAACACCAGUGGCGAAGGCGGCUCACUGGUCCAUUACUGACGCUGAGGUGCGAAAGCGUGGGGAGCAAAC